rnacentral:lncRNA from 1 species
GUGAAAUCAAGUUAUUGUUGAGAAAAGAGAGAUAAAGAAUUAGGACAUUUUUUUUUCUCCCUUAGAGGCGUUUGCUGAAUUCUAAAGAAGGAUAAGAAGCACAUCAGAAAGCCACUGAAAAACAUAAUGGAAUUUUCCGGAAAUAUUUAGAGACAGUAAUCAUACUCAAGAACGGUGACGGAAGAAACCUCAGGAUUUCAGGUUGACCAACUGGAGGGCAGUGUCCUAGGAAUGAGUAUGACGUUCUUGCUCUAUCACUGAGGCUGGAGUGCAGUAGCGCAAUUGUAGCUUAUUGCAGACUUGAACCCCCUAGGCUCAAUCAAUCCUCUCAUGUAGGUGAGAUUAUAGGCACAAGCCACCAGGCCUGGCUAAGAACUUUCAAAUGUUUAUAGAGUACUGAUGAAGGGUCCCAAGUAACCAAGACUAAUCUUGAAGAAGAAAACAAAAUUGAAAUCUUACAACAUCAAAUACUAAGACUUAAUAUUAAACCACAUGACACUUAAAAAUGGAUUACAGACUAAUGGAAUAAUACAUAAUUUAGAUAUAGAUGAUAUACACAAGGUUGUUUUAUGAUAUGCUGUGACAUAGGGGAAGAAUGCAGUCUGAAUAAAUGUAAUUAUUUAUUCUCAAUUAGGAAAUUUUAUUAUUCAUUAUUCAUAAUAAAAUACAUGAAUGAAUGGGUAGAACAGCUUUAGAGAACAGAAUGGUCUUGACUCCUACCAUGUAUACACAAUCAGUACAGUAUAUACUGGACUAUACUUAAAAGUCAAUUUCAGAUAGAUUUUAAAUACACAUGAGGAAAGUAAAAAAAUAAAAAACUUUGCAUGUAGGAAAAUAUUUUGUAACCAUUGUGUAAGCAAAAUUUUCUUAAAGGUCAAAUAAAAACACUGACAAUGAAGAUUGAUAAACAGUUUAAUA